UCAUCAUCAUCAUCAGCUUUCAUCAGCUUCCUUUGAAGUUUAUCUUCAGCAUCUCUCAAGAACUUGAACUUCGGAGGCGGUGAAGCCCAUAUCCUGUUAAACUCAGAAUCACUUGUUGACUGGAACAGAGGACUAAAAGCUCUAAAUGAAUAAUUUACAGGAGUUAUAGGUGGAGUCAAGAAUGGUGGUGAAGCAAGUGGAGUAAAAAAUACUGAACCCACAUCACUCAAACUCCUUCUACUGACAUCAUCUGAUUCCAAAUCUUCUUUUGUUUCCUCUUUAAUGGUGAAGAGAAAUCUUGGAGGCACAGAGAGGUUCAUGUUCUGCAGCCUCAAAACUUGUUGUUCUUGACCAAAUGGUCUGACCCAAAUUGGUUCAUGAACUUGGGUGUCUGUGGUUAGACCUGUGGUGAUCAAAGAUGAGGGCUUUUUACAACAAAACAUGUAGAAAGAUUCUGUUACUGGACUAGUGUAACUUUCUUGAAUAAUGUCUCUGUUAUUUGCCUUUUUCUUCCACCAUAUGAGAUAAUAAAGCUCAGCAACAAGAGCUAGUAAAAGACACCCAAACACAAGGCUCAAACCAAGUCCUACACUACUCGAACCUCUCAUCUUCUGUUUCACUCACAUCACAAGAAUUGAGCUAGUAAAGUUACAAGUUAUGGAAUUAUGAACCUCACAGGACUUUCGUCGAACAGUUGGUGUGCAAUGGUGCAAACCCAAUAGCAUUACUGUUUGGUUACAUGAUGUUUACCCAAAAGAAAGAAAGAAAGAAACUGUACCUUGGUGAUUACUUUUGUAUGAUCAAACGUGAUUGAACUCAUGCACCUCCAUCUUUUCGCUGUAUACCCAGUAAAUCAAAAUGAGUAAAUUAGUAUUUUUUUGGUCUCCCAAAAUUGACUUUGUGUUGUCCACAGAAGAGAGAAGUAAGCGGCAAAUCCAAAAGGGUAAGUAAUUUAUGGUGUGAGACUCUUCCCUAGAAAAAUGGCACCCCAAACCACACGGCAUUCAUAAUUACCCCUAGAUUCUAGAACAAUUUAUCAAGGCAUUUUUGUACAUCAAAUGUGUUUUGUAGUAAGAGGAGGGUAGUUCUAAAAGAAUAUUGGAAAUUUAUCUGAUUUACUGAUAAGGUUGGAGGGUGUGGGAUAAAGCUCCUAGGGGCUUUAUCAUGUCGCGUCAGAUUUACGUUAGUCAGGGGACUUUGUCACGCCUUCUCUUAACUUGCAGGUGUGAGAUAAAGCCCCUAUUAAACAAAAAAAAAAAAAAAAAAGAUUUCAUUGGUUGAAAAGAUGUGGGCCCCACCUGCACCCCCCUUAUCUUCCGUUAACAUGUUGGCGAAGGCACCAUGACGCCCCCUUUUAAUUGCCUGGGUAUGGGCGGUGGCGCCCCUCCGGCGCUAUCAGAGGUGAGGUGACAGGGGUGGCGCCCUCCACACCCUCCGGCCUAAAUACGAGAUGAAACUUCAGAAAAUAAACUUGGCUUUCUCUUGGAAUCGUGUGUACGAAUCACUUUCAAAUCAAACUAUUUGUCGGUACACACAAAUGUUUAAUCGAACAAGACCAAAAGGUUUUACAAGAACGGACUUGAUUUUUGAAUGAGAGGAUAGACAUACCCCCUGAUCUUUCCGACCAGAGAUGUCGACCAAAAAAAAACUGCCAGUUCUUUUUUUUUUCUUUUUUUUUUUGUGAUACUGUGCAUCACAUACCAUGCCUAUUCGUUUCUUGGUAUUAUUUUGGGUGAUCCAUCUUCCAUUUGGAUAAUCCAAUUGGAUCCCUAUCUCCUAAUCGAUCAACUCAUAGCAAUUGGAUGAUCCAUUUGAUAUUGGCCCAAUCAUAACUAAACCAUCUCAAUUAAUGAGAAGCCCAAUUAAAUGUAUAGCAAAUAAGCCCAAGAUCAUAUAUAAAUUAUGUAUAUAACUAGGUGUUGCUUCGCCCGCAUUGUCGGGCGAUGGCCGAAUAAUUAUUAACCAAUUAAAAAAAACAGUACCAUAGUUUUGCUAGAAAGAAAAAGUAAAAAGAAUGUUAGGUAGCUCCUUAACACAAUUUUUAGUUGUGGGCAAAGUCAUAUUUUUAUUUGGGGGAAAAUUAAUUUUUUUCCCGAUGGUAAAAUCCUAAUUUUUAGCUAGGGGAAAACCAUAUUUUUAUUUUGCACUGGGGGCAAAAAACAUAAUUUUGAAUUGAGGGUGAUAUCGUAAUUUUGAACAAAGGGGAAAAUCGUAAAUUUUAGCUGGGGGCAAAAGCAUAAUUUUAUUUUGAACUGGGGCAAAGAUGUAAUUUUAAACUGGGGAAAAAACUGUGAUUUAAAAGUGGAUAUAAAAUAAUAAACUGGUGUAAAAUCGUAAUUUUGAGCCGGGGGAAAAACAAAAUUUUAUUUUGAACUGGGGCGAAAACGUAAUUUUGGCUGAGGGUAAAAGCGUAAUUUUUUUACCGAGGGCGAAAUCGUAUUUUCGGUUUAGCUGGGUGUAAAGUCAGUUUUUUUUUUUAACUGGGGAAAAUCAUAAUUUUGAACCGAGCGUAAAAUCGUAAUUUUAAGGUAGGGGAAAACCAUAAUUUUAUUUUUAUCUGGGGGCAAAAAAGUAAUUUUAAACUGAUGGUGAAAUCGUAAUUUUGAACCGAGGGAAAAAUCGUAAUAUUGAGCUGGGGGCAAAACUAUAAUUUUAUUUUGAACAUUGCGGCGAAGACGUAAUUUUAAACUGGGGGCAAAACCGUAAUUUUAAAGCGGGUAUAAAAUAAAAAGCUGUGGGUAAAAUCGUAAAUUUGGAACCAAUGGCAAAAUAGUAAUUUUAGCUGCUGGCAAAAGGGUUAUUAUAUUUUUUAGUUGGGAGAAAAGCGUAAUUUUAAAUUGGGGGCAAAACCGUAAUUUUAAAGUGGAUAUAAAAUAAUAAAAUGGUUGGUCCAAUAAAGGAGGGGCGGCCGCCCAUUUCGACCAAUGGCAGGGAAACACUAUUCCCUGUCAUUGUCUUUGUAUAUGUUGAAUAAUUUAUAUAUUUUAUAAAACUGAAACCGAUAGAUAAUCUAAAUCUUAUUAAUACGAUACGAGCAUGCACUCCCGCAUCUCCUAACUCAUUAUAAUAAUCAAUAGAGAAAAUGUAUGGAUAGUCUAUGUGCUAUAGCCCCAACUUUUGCAAUUUCGUUCCUGGGUAGUCCCUGGCACGGAUGAGAGUUAGUUUUUGGUGUUAAGUGGAUGUGAAAUUACUAAAAUGCCCU
rnacentral:lncRNA from 1 species